UGGUUUUCUUACAAAUGUGUCUUUUCUCAUUCAGGGGCCUCAAAGAAUGAGUACUGGCUUGGUAUAGGUCUGUUUCUAUUUGUGAAAAAGUAAGCUCCUAGCUGAGAGCCAGCAAGAAAGUAGAGACCUCAGUCUUACAUCCACCAGGAUCUGGAUUCUGCCAACAUCCUGAGUGAGCCUAAAAGAGGACCCUGAACUCCAGAUGAGACUGCAGUAGUUCCUACAAGAAAAGGCAGGAAAGAUAUCAAUUCUACGAAUUCUCUGGAAGACACCUACAUAUAGAUUCUGUAGCAGAGUCUGGGAAAGUCCAGGAAGGGCUCAUCUUGAGUUGUUCCCUAGCAGUUUCAGGAAGUCCUCCUGUGGGCUUA
rnacentral:lncRNA from 1 species